UCAUGUUGUUUUAGAUUUAUAAAGUAUAUAGUGGUAAACAUUUCUGUUAGAAUAAACAGAAUUUUUACUUUUAUUGAAAUUUGUCAUCCUAGAAAAUUUUUUAAUAAUUUAGGACUCCGUAUACAUUAUUUCCUUGUAGUUGACUUUUAAGCAAAACAUGCUGAAAAACUCUUUAAAGUAUUUUAAAUUGUGACUAGCAUUUGUAAUUUCAUCUAAUAAAGCAUUUAUUGCCU
rnacentral:lncRNA from 1 species